CUACGGGUCGCACCAGUCGCGGAACUUUUACAAUGCACGCAAGUGUGAUAAAGCAAGCCAAAGUGUUUUUCGUAUAGAAAAACUUUUUCUUAGUGUAAAAACCUAGGAGAAUAAGGACUGGGAAAGACUGGUGCCAGCCGCCGCGGUAAUACCAGCAGUUCAAGUUGCAUCCCUUUUUAUUGGGUCUAAAACAUCCGUAGCUUGCCGUUUAAGUCUCUUGUGAAAUCCUACGUCUCAAGCGUGGGGCUUGCAGGAGAUACUGGACGGCUAGAGAUCGGUAGACGUAAGGAGUACGCCGGGGGUAAUGGUAAAAUAUGUUAAUCCUCGGUGGACUAACAAUCAGCGAAGGCACCUUACGAGGACGAAUCUGACAGUGAGGGAUGAAGGCCAGGGGCGCAAAACGGAUUAGAUACCCGCGUAGUC
rnacentral:rRNA from 1 species